AGCAUCCUCUUCAUACAGUAGCUUUGGAAACUACCAGCAUGUGCUUGCUAUCAGACUGUAAACAAGGACUUGCCUCCAGAAAAUAAUGGGAAGAAUGGUUAAGCCAUUUGUCUCUGAACAUGGAAUGAGAUAAACUUCAAGAUGCUGUUCUCUAUUUUUAUGCUAUUGGACCAAUGAGCUGAAUGAAUAAUUAAGAUGUAACAGUUCAAUACACAGGAAUGUGAUUGUAUCCAUCAACCUCAGUUCUCUCACUCCAGUAUUACAUUCUGCAAAUGUCAUUCUGUUGUGUCAGGACUGCUUUUCAUAAGGUUCUUCGGGCACGAAGUAGAAACCCAGUGGCAAAUUCCAAGGCUCCUUUGACUAGGGCUUCAAAAUAAUGUCUUCACAGAAUGGUACCUUCUAGCGACUGGCCUAUUUUUAUUGAGAAAAAAACUUGUUCUAUUUUUGUUGUUGUUACUGUUCUUAUGGAUUGCAUUCAUAUUUAAACCCUUUGGAUUGCUAACCAGAGUACCUCUAUUCUUGGCAAAUUCCGCAGUUUAUUACAGGUGUUUAAAGUAUUUUAAACAAAACUCUGAAUUUCUUUAGUUAGCCUAAGAGUUGGCUUCUAGUCACAAAGAUACAGCUGCCACACUGUGACGAAGAGCACCUUAGAAAGAAAAGCAGCAAGUGAGCGGUGAGCAAGUAAGCACCGUGCAGUCUUCGUUCUCUGUAGUCUUGUCUUCCAAAUAGAACGUCCAUCGUAGUUACCCAAAGGUGGUAUUUGUGGUGUUCUUAAUGCAGUGCUUUAAGUCUAGUGUAUGUUCUGUCAGCUUGAACUGGAAUCUCUCUUGUAACUUUGUAGGUUAUAAACAUAUCUCAUAUCUGCUU
rnacentral:lncRNA from 1 species